rnacentral:RNase_P_RNA from 1 species
GGUAGCUGAGCAAUCGCGUGUUUUAUACAUGAGGAAAGUCCGAGCACUAUAGGACAGAGUGCCAGCUAACGGCUGGUGAAGGCGACUUCAAGGCAAGUGCAACAGAGAUAUACCGCCGAUUUUUCGGUAAGGGUGGAAAGGUGAGGUAAGAGCUCACCCACAAUAUGGCAACUUAUUGGUGAUGUAAACCCCACUCAGUGCAAGGUUCGAACAGAGUAAUAUGGUUGUCCGCCAUGCUCUAAGGAAACCGCAUCAGUAUAUAGGCGACUAUAUGCGUAGAUAGAUGAUUGCAAAAACAGAACUCGGCUUAUAGGCUA